rnacentral:rRNA from 1 species
ACGAAGGUCCCAAGCGUUGUUCGGAAUCACUGGGCGUAAAGCGUGCGUAGGCGGCAUGGUAAGUCAGAUGUGAAAUCUUUGGGCUCAACCCGGAAACUGCAUCCGAUACUGCCAUGCUAGAGUAAUGGAGGGGUAGCUGGAAUUCUCGGUGUAGCAGUGAAAUGCGUAGAUAUCGAGAGGAACACUCGUGGCGAAGGCGAGCUACUGGACAUUUACUGACGCUCAGGCACGAAGGCUAGGGUAGCGAAAGGG